AUGAGCUUUUCCAUACAUGUUGUUCGAUUAAAGCAUAUUGGUUUUUUGACAGGUGCUUGUUUUAAGUUGCAACUUGUUGUGAAUAAGGAAUCUCAUAGCAUGAAAAUGGCGAUCUCCCAUGCAACUGCUUCAGAGAGGUGUUAUUUGUGGAAUCAAUAUGUGGAAUUGUUUAAGUCGGGGGGAGGUUCAAUCAAGAUCACCAUAGAGCUCUCCUGUGCGUCUUUCAGUUACGCGAUAUGGAAGUAUGACUCGUUGUGCUUUGGACAAGAUUACAUAGAUACGUUUAGGGAAGGAAUAUAUCUCGAAUAUUAG